UCAAGAUCGGUGCUUGAAGAGAAAGAGAAGAAAAGAAGGGAGAAGAACAGAAGAUAAGGAAAUGGAUUUACCGAGAUAUAUGGGUCUCGAUAAAACUAUCGUUUGUUUCUUUAUCGCGUGCUACUUUUCCUACGACGCAGUCUGGUCGAAAGAGGAUACCAAUCAUGUAAAAAUUUUAAUCUCGCAAACGACCGAAUACUUCGGGCGUGCUGAAAACGCUCCAAGAUAGGAUUUAAUAUACUCAUCGUUGAUUGAUAACUGACGAAGUUUACAAUUAUCAACACGCGAUACUAUCUGCAUUGCAUCCACUGUUAAUCGUACGUUGACCUUAUCCAAAAGAAAAAUAAAUCCUACAGAUUUGAUCACCAAUUCAAUUCUACUCGUUUCCAUCAAAGGCUUUCAGUUCUCCAGGCUUUAAUCGACACAGUCGCGGACGUAAUUGAAGGGAAAGCUAAGCAAGCAAAUCGCGAUGAAUUCGCUGAAUGAACGAUAACACGGUAGUACUCGGUGUUUGUCCGAGUGUCGCGGAAUCGAUCAUUCGUCGAGAAAAAGAAUUACAUACACGUAACGUGUUGCAAUUUUUUUUAAAAAUAUCGAUAAAAUUCCUUUAUCGAGUGUUCUUGUUAUUAAUCGUCAUUACGAUCACGUUAUUUUUCCACAAUAUUUUUCGCACUUAGCGCAAGAUGUAACGUAGAAAAGAGGUCAUAUACAUAUAUCUGAAUGCCAAGCGUAUUUACAUUUAUCGGUAUGUCAACCAAACGAUACAUUUCAACAGGAGCGAGAUAAUCUGCUAUUACGAUGAAAAUGUGAACUAGUUAUCUAUUAGUAAGUUACCAAACACAAUGUCAUGAAAGAGUAACAGCACGGACGAAGUAUGCAUAACGUACGGUUAAUAUACAUCAUGAUGAAACUUCGUAUUUCAUCGAUUUAGAACGAUGAAUUCGAGGAAUUGUAUUUGUGGCAAUAGCUAGGCUGCGGAUGUUUAUGCAUUUCUGAACAAUUUUAAGAUGUACAAAUCUUUAGACUGUAUGUAAAAAAGAUAUAUAACGUAUUCAAAGCAUAGUGUUUCAUAUAACGUUUAGCAUUUGAAACAAAUUAUCACAUAGAUUUUACUUUUUCAGGUAGUAAUGUAACCAAAUUUGCAUAAACACUCGUAGUCUGGUAAUCACUGAAGUUACGAAAUAUCUAGUGCCGCAUCGUGUGAAAUAAAUCAUUCAUCAAUGAUCAUUAUUUGCAUUCUUGUGCAUACAAUUACGUCUGCGUGAAAUUAACCCGUACAUAAUAUAUUAAACAGACAUUAAUAAAUAAUUUUACGCAGUUAUUAAAAAGUUUCGAGAAAAUUCAACGUUAUGUUUAUUUAUGAAUUUCUUAUUCUUCGAAUUUACAAAACCAAGCAUGAGAUCCUGGUCUUCUUUAUUAAAUUAAGCUUAGAUAUUAGCAAUACGAUAGCUACAAACAUUAGCCUAUAGACUAAUUGAAUAAACCAUGUGGUGUUUCUUCA